rnacentral:rRNA from 1 species
UUAAAACCAAAAUUGAAGAGUACCAGUAAUCUUGAAACUCAAAGAAUUUGGCGGUGUUUUAAUCUAAUUAGAGGAACCUGUUUCAUAAUCGAMACUACCCGAAAAUCUCACCUAUCUAUGCUUGUAUACCGUCGUAAUAAUUAUACUAAAAAGUGAUAAUUUAUAAUAAUUAAAUUCAAAACUUCAGAUCAAGGUUCAGCCCUUACUUAGGAGAAAAUGGGUUACAAUAUAAAGAUAUACCACGGAUUAAAAAUGAAACUUAUAUAUAAAGGAGGAUUUAAAAGUAAUUUUGACUAAUAAAAUUAAAAUGAAUUAGCCCUAAAACAUGC